rnacentral:rRNA from 1 species
UACGUAGGGUGCGAGCGUUGUCCGGAAUUAUUGGACGUAAAGGGCUCGUAGGCGGUUUGUCGCGUCGGGAGUGAAAACUCAGGGCUUAACCCUGAGCCUGCUCCCGAUACGGGCAGACUAGAGGUAUGCAGGGGGAGAACGGAAUUCCUGGUGUAGCGGUGAAAUGCGCAGAUAUCAGGAGGAACACCGGUGGCGAAGGCGGGUUCUCUGGGCA